rnacentral:lncRNA from 1 species
UCAGUCUUACCACGUCUCACUUUCUUGUAGCCUCUUGUACUGUUUCUUACCUAGUACAUAAUUUACUUCAAACUUAUACAUAUCCAAUCUCUCUUUUUAAAAUCCAUAUGACUCUCAAGCACCUGCAUUGGACAUCCACACCACACAUACAUACCAAACAUGACUAUAAUUUGCUAAAUAACUUUCACUCAUCAUCAAGUCUCAAAAAUUGUUUAGAUCCGACUGUAAAAACUGAGGGAACACAAAACC